rnacentral:rRNA from 1 species
GACGCAGGUCCUAUAUACACCCCAAGCCUGUGAAGGGUAUCCACCUGGAUCGGCUUUGGUUGCAGUCCUUUGGGCUGUAGGCUAGGCUGUCGCAAGAUGGUCGAGCCACAUAGACGCUUGUAUGUUUGACAGAGUUCAGUUGCUUAUAAAAGAUACAACUUUUAACAAUGGGUCUCUUGGCUCUUGCAACGAUGAAGAACGCAGUGAAAUGCGAAAAGUAAUGCGAUUUGCACGAAUCUGUGAGUCAUCAAGUCUUUGAACGCACCUUGCACCAUAUGAGCAAUCGUAUGGUAUACCUGUUUGAGAAUCGUAAAAACCUAUCCUACCGAUUAGGUAGGGACUUGUCGAUCGAGUGCGUCUUGUGCGCAUCCGUCGAUUAAAAGUAGUAGGUCUAGUCAGGCUAGUGGCCUGGGACAUUGUGUGCUAGAGACGUCGCUUCGGCUGACUGUCUUCUCACAGUGCGUCCCUUGCUAUACAAGCUGGUCUGGUCUUGGCCUCCACAAUCAUCGUAAGGUGACAACCCCCCUUUUUGAUCUCAAAUCAGGUAAGGCUACCCGCUGAACUUAAGCAUAUCAGUAAGCGGAGGAAAAGAAACUAACAAGGAUUCCCCUAGUAACGGCGAGCGAAGCGGGAAGAGCUCAAAUUUAAAAUCUGGUAGGCCUUGCCUAUCCGAAUUGUAGUUUAAAGAGGCGUUAUCUGGGUCUAGUCUGGUGCGCAAGUCCCUUGGAAUAGGGCGUCACAGAGGGUGAGAACCCCGUUUGGGCACUGGGCUAGGUCCUCUAUGAGGCGCUCUCUACGAGUCGGGUUGUUUGGGAAUGCAGCUCAAAAUGGGUGGUAAAUUUCAUCUAAGGCUAAAUACUGGCAAGAGACCGAUAGCGAACAAGUACCGUGAGGGAAAGAUGAAAAGCACCUUGAAAAGGGAGUUAAAUAGUGCGUGAAAUUGUUAAAAGGGAAACGAUUGAGACCAGUAUUGUUGCCGGUCGCUCAGCGUAGCAUUGGUGCAAGCCUGUGCUGCGUGUAUUCGGCUGGUGACGAGUCAGCGUCAGUUUGGGAGUCCGGAGAGAGGUCAGAGGAAGAUGGGUUCGGCCUUCGGGUCGUUCUUUUAUAGACUCUGGCUGGCACGGGAUCCUGGACUGAGGUGUGCGACUGCCGUACUCUCGGUUUGAGACCUGACCCCAAGGUGUCGGACUACACGUAGACCGACGCCGUAAGGAAGGGAGGUAGGGCCGA